AGUUAUAAACUCAAGCUGAUAUAGAGACAGUAUAGCAGACUGGUGAACCUAUAUAUUUAUAUAGCUUCACUUGGAUACCAAACUUUCUCAAGUGUGAUAAACUGAUAUAGGAGAGAAAGUUGGUGGUCCAGGUGAAGUGUUCUCAUUGAAGGGUUUUCAUUAUGCCACAGUCUGGUUUACAUUAUGCCACAGUCUGGUUUUCAUUAUGCCACAGUCUGGUUUUCAUUAUGCCACAGUCUGGUUUUCAUUAUGCCUCAGUCUGGUUUUCAUUAUGCCUCAGUCUGGUUUUCAUUAUGCCACAGUCUGGUUUUCAUUAUGCCUCAGUCUGGUUUUCAUUAUGCCACAGUCUGGUUUUCAUUAUGCCACAGUCUGGUUUCAUUAUGCCACAGUCUGGUUUUCAUUAUGCCACAGUCUGGUUUUCAUUAUGCCUCAGUCUGGUUUUCAUUAUGCCUCAGUCUGGUUUUCAUUAUGCCACAGUCUGGUUUUCAUUAUGCCACAGUCUGGUUUUCAUUAUGCCACAGUCUGGUUUUUACUCUUUUAUUUUACCAAGACUCUCACGUGAUUUCUGAUCAGUAAAGAAUUUUCAGAAAUUAACCCUGAUGAUUAUGUAAGAAAACUACCAUUGUAAGAUAUAAGAAUUAGUUGUGAACCUUAAACUUGGAAAUUGUUGGCAGGUGUAGACUGUGAAGCCGUCAUGCUUAGUGUUAAUAAAGGAAUUCUUGAGUUAUAUUUUACACGGCGUCAUAAACCAGAUUAUAGCGCACCAGUAGUGUCGUUAAGGAUACGUACUCAACAUUGGCAGUGUUCAAGCCAGUCUGCAUUCCAGGUCCUGAUUCUGUUGCUACUGUGAUCGCUAUUUCUGAUUUCUGGACCUGUCAAUCUUAUCAUACAUACUCCUGAA